AGAAUUUUGUAACUUCCGCAGAGAAAUUAUUCUAUCCUUAGAGAAAUUUUCCGUAUAUAUGUAAAUAGACGUUUCUUCGCCUCUUCUUCACGUUCCCAUUCGUCUCCGGUGCUCGAGCUUGCUCUACACUACGAACCAGACCCGAGCCAUAAAUUUCUGUCAAGCCCUCUUUUUUUUUCUUCUUAUGAAUUUGAUUUAUUUAGCUGAGCUCAUCUGAUUGGUAAUUGAAUAACAUUUGAUCUUUGAUUAUGCGAUUCUUUAGAAGAAUAGCGGGGCUUCUGGGGCUUGCCGGAGACGGUGGCCAGGAAGUGAAAGACAAAGAAAACGACCCUAGCAACGAUAAUAACAAUAACGAAACGCCCAAUCCUGUCCUGUCCUCCUCCCCUGCAAUUCUUGUGACGGUGGUGUCCAGGGUCUAAAAUGGUAUGCAAAGCGUCUUAGGAUGGACGAAGAUGGAGAUGUAGCAGAUGAGUUCCUUGAUGAAGUUUCGCCUGAAACAUCAGCUUCAAUUUAUGCAGAAAAUGAGCAGAAGCCAUUCCCCAAGUUCCGAAUGAAGUAUAGUACAAGGCCAGCCAAUUUGACGACACAAGUCAUGUCACAUGAUGGUAAAUGCAGCAGUGUGUAGAGCACCAAGGAAGAUUACAGUGUUGUAUCGUGUACGAGAAGUAGAUUUGAAAGAGGGUUUUGGUUUAGCAGUCGUUUGCUCCAUCGAUCAAGGCAUAUUCUGUAUUAGUGGCUUGUUGAAUGAUCUAAUAUGGAUUCUCUCAUUAUUGCCUUCGUUGUUUAAUGGAAAAGUUUGUGACCAUUUCAAUGAGAAGAGG